rnacentral:rRNA from 1 species
UGGGGAAUAUUGCACAAUGGGCGCAAGCCUGAUGCAGCCAUGCCGCGUGUGUGAAGAAGGCCUUCGGGUUGUAAAGCACUUUCAGCGAGGAGGAAGGUGGUGAACUUAAUACGUUCAUCAAUUGACGUUACUCGCAGAAGAAGCACCGGCUAACUCCGUGCCAGCAGCCGCGGUAAUAUGGAGGGUGCAAGCGUUAAUCGGAAUUACUGGGCGUAAAGCGCACGCAGGCGGUUUGUUAAGUCAGAUGUGAAAUCCCCGGGCUCAACCUGGGAACUGCAUUUGAAACUGGCAAGCUAGAGUCUCGUAGAGGGGGGUAGAAUUCCAGGUGUAGCGGUGAAAUGCGUAGAGAUCUGGAGGAAUACCGGUGGCGAAGGCGGCCCCCUGGACGAAGACUGACGCUCAGGUGCGAAAGCGUGGGGAGCAAACAGGAUUAGAUACCCUGGUAGUCCACGCUGUAAACGAUGUCGAUUUUGGAGGUUGUGCCCUUGAGGCGUGGCUUCCGGAGCUAACGCGUUAAAUCGACCGCCUGGGGAGUACGGCC